AUUGAACGCUGGCGGCAGGCCUAACACAUGCAAGUCGAACGAGUGGCGGACGGGUGAGUAAUGUCUGGGAAACUGCCUGAUGGAGGGGGAUAACUACUGGAAACGGUAGCUAAUACCGCAUACCAUCGGAUGUGCCCAGAUGGGAUUAGCUAGUAGGUGGGGUAAAGGCUCACCUAGGCGACGAUCCCUAGCUGGUCUGAGAGGAUGACCGGGCAAACGGGAACUGUGAGACGGUGCAGACUCCUACGGGAGGCAGCAGUGGGGAAUAUGGCACAAUGGGCGCAAGCCUGAUGGAGCGAUGCCGCGUGUAUGAAGAAGGCCUUCGGGUUGUAAAGUACUUUCAGCGGGGAGGCGGUAGCCGCAGAAGAAGCACCGGCUAACUCCGUGCCAGCAGCCGCGGUAAUUC
rnacentral:rRNA from 1 species